CACCACCAAGUAACAUGAAUGUAUAGCCCUACACCACCAGGUAACAUGAAUGUAUAGCCCUACACCACCAGGUAACAUGAAUGUAUAGCCCUACACCACCAGGUAACAUGAAUGUAUAGCCCUACACCACCAGGUAACAUGAAUGUAUAGC